GCCGAAGAGGUGGCAGAAAGAAUAUUGGAGAUUAUGAGAGUAAGGAGUCUGGAAAAGCCACCAUGACCGUGAAAGCCUUGCAUGUUAAGUUCCUGAGAAGUGAGAUACAAAGAGCAAGCUUGAACUGUGAUGUCAUCUUUAAUGCCAGCCACACCAUCUCUGCUGCCUGCAUGUCACCCUGGGAACCUGUGCCAGCAGGAACCUGCUACAGCCGGAGGAGGAUGUGCAACAAAUACAUUAUGGAGGGCCCUGAGACUACCACUCUGCACUGAACCAGCACUUCAGGAGUUGUGUUCUGAAGGCACUGAGCAACUCGAGAGCUGUUCCUUCUACCUCUGAAUGGUGGCCAAUCAGACUAGGGAAUGACUUCCCUGCUCACUCCUUUCACUCAUCUGGAUGCAAUAAAAGACAAAUUGACCCUUCACUGCGCACUCUCUAGACAUGGUUAUGUCUAAAUGCAGAUGCAGUCAGCAAGGUGAGAAACUGGCAGUGGCCAGGCAACUGCAGCAGUUGGCUCUGUCUGGAGUGUGACACCAAUGGGCUCCAUCUUGCAAGCUGAGGAAUCUGAGACUUCCCUUGGCAAAGCUGGGAGGGCUUCCAGCGACUUCCUAGAAUGCCUGCUGCCUGACAGUGUGCACUACUGUUAUCUCUUUCUUCAAGUUUUUUAGAAUCAUUAAUAUACUGUUUGCUUAUUUUUGCUUUCA